AUAUUGUAUAUGCCCUAUUAUUGCCCUGCUUCCAGCUCUGAACACGCCCAUUGCACUCAGCUAUAAGUUAUUGGUUGUUGUUGAGUUACGUUUUUAUGUGUUAAUUCAUGGUAAUUGCAAUGUAUUUUGUGUUGAUAUUUUUUUUUGCUAUUUUUCUGGGCUUUGUCCCCAUGUAAGCCGCCCCGAGUCCCCUCGGGGAGGUGGGCCGAGACAUAAUAGAGACAUUCUAUCUGUCCAUUCCAUAAUAGUCCCAUUGUUGUUGUCUUGUCAUUUUAUACCGCACUUUACUGUCCAUUCAACUGUGAAAUUUCCUUUCCCCAUUUCGUAACACUCUGCACUUUGCCUGGGAUCUACGACUUAGUCUCCUUUUUUUAAUACUGUAUCCUGCUUGUUGAUUUUAAUGAUUGUUUUUAUUGAUGUUGAUGUUUUUUACUGGGAUAAUUGUUUUAUUGCUUUGUUACUGUUAUUUGUUUGUUUUAUUGGGCCAGGCCCCAUGUAAGCCGCCCCGAGUCCCUUCGGGGAGAUGGGGCGGGGUUUAAAAAUAAAGUUGUUAUUAUUAUUAUUGUUGUUGUUAUUAUUAUUAUUAUUAUUAUUAUUAUUAUUAUUUAUUAUAAAGUUAUUAUUUAUAUUUCAAAAUGUCUUGAGACCAGAGCAUUAAAAGUUGCUUUAUUCAGUGCGAUUCUGGAAGCUGUUUUCUACAAACAUGACAUUUUCAGCUACAGACUGAGAUACAUCAAAUAUGGUUAUGAUUAGGAGAGGGAAGAAAGCAAAACUAACAUGUUGAUCACUUCCCCUUCCAUCCAAUAGGACUAUACCUGACUUAACUUUGUUAAGUGAAGUUCUCAGGUUAUCCAAGAACGUUUUACUGCAAGACCCAUGUCAGAUGGCAUCUCAGUUGAUAGGUCGUCUUCAUCAGAUUGCGGCAGCAGAUAAGCCAGUGGCUCCAGGUCAUUUGGACAGAAUUACAGCCAUUGGACAGACCCAGGAGGAACACAUUGUUGCAACAGUUUCCAAUGAUGGCACUUUGAAACUGUGGGACCUGAGAGUUGGUAAAGCCAUCUUCACUCUGCAUGCAAUUGGGAAGAAUAUCAGCGCUAUUGCUGUAUGUUUGGAGAACAGGUUGGUGGCUGUGUCUGACAAGACCAGCCUAAAAAUCUGGGACCUUUCCUUGGAAAAAGUGAUAUAUGCGGCUGGAGAGUUUUUGGAUACUCCUAUACUAACUUCUGCAAUGAACGGACAACUCUUGCUGGUUUUUUUUAAUGGCAACCACAUGGUUCAGGUUUUUGAUCUCGCUCGCUCGUGCCAAUUGCUCCAUGAAGCAACCCUUUCUACUGAAGAAGUGCCCAUCCACAAGGACCGUUCUAUACUUGUAUCAAAGAAUUCAGUGAAAGAUUAUGUUUUGUGUGUCUAUAGAAGUGGAAGUGAAGCAAUGGUCUUUAGUGGCAAGGCAGGAAAAGUAGUUGCGAAACUGAAAAGCCAAGAACCAAUAGCAGCUGCUGAGGAUGUGGCUGUAACCAAGGAAUAUUUUCUGGUGAUUUUCAGAUGUCCCUUCAUGAGACAACGUGAGAUUGUGCAUAUCGAACUCUACCAUGUCCACAACUUUUCCUAUGCUCACAGUCUGAAAGGAUGCUGCCAUGAUUAUAUUCAUACUUUUGCUGUAAACCAUUUGGGGUCUCACCUGGUGGCAUUCAGUCCCAUACCAAACACUAAUUCCACUGAGAUAGUGUCAUGGAAUCUAGAGUCUGAAGAUCACAAACAUUUGGCUAAAUUUCCUUCAGUCCCAAUUGAUGGUGUAUGCACUGAUCUUCGAUACUGCUUAGCAUUCUGUGAUGGAGAUAACUACCUUCGAUCCUGGAACUUGGCUUCCAAGAUCAAUGACCAGUCUUUGACUGUCACUGCAAGCAAAGCAAAGCAAACAAAUGGUAUUCAGAAUAUUGUGACAUCAGAGAACUAUCCCAGAUAUGCUGUCUGUCGAAAUACAAGGAGCCCAGGAGUCAUAACAGUUUGGAACAUUGUGAAAUCAAAGUGUAAACACAAUGCUGUGAGAGUGGAACGAGGACUGGUCGAAAACACGGAUGUAGUGCUGGUUAAAGACAUGAAACUAUAUGUUCUGACAGACAAAGGAAUUGCUCCCUUUGGGGAUCCUCCCAGGCCCAUUUUCCAGACCCUUUUAAUUUAUGAUCUUCUGAAAAAGAAGUACCUAAAGAAACAGACUGGUCUUUACAUAAUUCCCUGUCCAUAUAAUGAGUACAGGAUUCUUGAAGGAGGCCUUCUACUUGGUCUCUCAGAGAACAGAGACCAUUUUAUCACAUGGAAUUUGGAAACAGGAUUGAUUACGAAUCGGAUAAGGCCUCAAUACCAAAACAACUUUGCCUUGCAAGCUCCUCAUCCCAACCAUUCCUUGCCCAGGGAAAAUGCAAAACCAAACAAAGGAGGAUUGUGUAAAGAAAUAACAGCAUUAUGGCAUCCUUGGGAAAGGCGAAAUGAAACAAGGACUGCACAGAAAAGGAGGAGGGAGAAGGCAGGAAAACUGGAGGUGGAAAUGUUACAACAACUAGCCAAGGAGAAGAGUAAUGCUAUUGAUCAGUACCUCCUGAGUGGAGAUGAAAAGGUAGCAGUGUGCUCCUAUUAUGCACAUCACCUGUCUGUGUUCAGCCUGGAAACGAUGUGCCAUGUCCGCACUCUUGAGAGCAGAGAAUCUAUGCUGUUCUUACACAAUGCAGCCUUGACCUUUGACGGCCAUUACCUAGUGCUCUCUAAUUAUAGCGAGGAGGAGAAAAUCAGCUAUGUAACCCUAUGGAAUUUAGCCACAGGAAAGGUCAGGAAAAGAUUAAAAAAUGAGCCAAAUGUUUGCUGUACAGCCAUAACUGAUGAUGGUAGCAGAAUAAUUUUUGGUGUGAUGUUGGAAAACAAGAUAAAGCUUUGGGAUCCAUUUAAACACAGACACAAGUUAUUUCAAGGUUAUGAAGGCCUUCAUCUGAAUGUGAACAGCAAAUUACAGAUAUUAGAUAACGCAAAAGCUGUCCUCCUUGCAGGUGAGGUCAGUCUAUGGGACUUGGAGCGUGGCACAGUUAUAUCCAUCUUCACACCAGAUAGCAACAUCUCUUGUCUGACUCUUGCCUUGGAUAGAAAAGCAAUUCUUUUAGGCUUGACUGAUAGCACUACUCUUAUCACCUUGAAAAUGCUGAGCCUCAACACUGCUGCAAGUUUGACAGGAACAGAUUUGUUUGGAGAAGAAUCGUCAAGCAGUGAAGAGGAGUCUGAAGUCAUGUAA
rnacentral:lncRNA from 1 species